rnacentral:rRNA from 1 species
UACGUAGGGGCAAGCGUUGUCCGGAAUCAUUGGGCGUAAAGAGCGUGUAGGCGGUUCGGUAAGUCGGCUGUGAAAGUCAGGGGCUCAACCCUUGAAAGCCGGUUGAUACUGUCGGGCUAGAGUCCGGAAGAGGCGAGUGGAAUUCCCGGUGUAGCGGUGAAAUGCGCAGAUAUCGGGAGGAACACCAAUGGCGAAGGCAGCUCGCUGGGACGGUACUGACGCUGAGGCGCGAAAGCGUGGGGAGCAAACAGG